rnacentral:lncRNA from 1 species
UAUUAUUAAAUACAGUAUUAGCUGAACGGUGGUAAUCAGAAGGUUUUUUUUUUUCGAAACGGAGGCAAAAGAUUUGCCUCAUCGAUUAAUUAAGCAGAAGAGAAUUGCCCAGUUAAUUAACGGAAAACCGGGCAAAAACCGAGUAAUCAGAAGGUUUCAUUGUAAUAGAUAUGUGCAUAUGUAUGUCCCAUCUACAACUUCAGCUACGUUUAAUCAAAGCCCUAUUGUGUGUUUAAAGAAAGCAAACACGAAAAUACUGUUGUAUUUUCGUAAAUAAGAACCACGUACAAUCGUACAUGCAGAGCAGCUAGUGCAAUAGAUGGUUGAAAACAGUUGUGCUACUGACAAGAAAAACACCAGACUAAAUUCUCAUGCAAAGUCAUAAUUUAUAACAUCACAAAUUGAUCCAAAUAUCACCAGAUAAAGCUAUAAGAUUUCCUUAUUGAGUACCGUUGGCUAGUCCUGCAUAUAUUACAGAUACUGGAGACCAUAUGACACAACCAUAUUGCCCAAUUCCAUGGAGACGGGCUAUCUUACUUAUUGUUAUGCAAGAUAUCUUAUGUUUUGAGAAGGCAGAAGCACAAACAUAAACAUAGACCCAAACUAAAUGAAGUAAAAAUGGAAGGAGAUUGUCAUCUCUCGAUCCAUGGCGAAAUAACUAUCUCUAAGUAAACCAAGCUGUAUACAACUUCUAAAAUGUGCAAUACUCAGGAAAUAAGAAUUUCUAAGUAGACAUAGAAAUAGACAAACUCCGCCUAUGUCUUCUAGGCAUAGCCGGUCCCAAGCCCGGGUAAAGGAGGAGGGUUGUGAUAGGCUUGGCGAGCCAACGUAAAAACUAGCCAGUCCCAUAGGUAUGAAACCCAUUUGAGCGAGAAUAGUACUAGGAUGGGUGACCUCCUAGGAAGUCCUCGUGAAAGGGUUUCAUAUCUAAGAGUUGUGAUAGGCUUGGCGAGCCAACGUAAAAACUAGCCAGUCUUUUGGGUAUGAAACCCAUUUGGGCGAGAGUAGUACUAGGAUGGGUGACCUCCUGGGAAGUCCUCGUGAAAGGGUUUCAUAUCUAGCCUACCCCAACUUGUUUGGGAUAAAAGGCUUCGUAAGUAAGUAAGUAAGUACAUAGAAAUAGACACUUCCGAAAUGAAA